rnacentral:rRNA from 1 species
AAUAGAUACCCAGGUAGUCCACGCCGUAAACGAUGAGUGCUAAGUGUUAGGGGGUUUCCGCCCCUUAGUGCUGCAGCUAACGCAUUAAGCACUCCGCCUGGGGAGUACGGUCGCAAGACUGAAACUCAAAGGAAUUGACGGGGGGCCCGCACAAGCGGUGGAGCAUGUGGUUUAAUUCGAAGCAACGCGAAGAACCUUACCAGGUCUUGACAUCCCACUGAUCGCUAUGGAGACAUAGUUUUCCCUUCGGGGACAGUGGUGACAGGUGGUGCAUGGUUGUCGUCAGCUCGUGUCGUGAGAUGUUGGGUUAAGUCCCGCAACGAGCGCAACCCUUGAUCUUAGUUGCCAUCAUUUAGUUGGGCACUCUAAGGUGACUGCCGGUGACAAACCGGAGGAAGGUGGGGAUGACGUCAAAUCAUCAUGCCCCUUAUGACCUGGGCUACACACGUGCUACAAUGGACGGUACAAACGGUUGCCAACCCGCGAGGGGGAGCUAAUCCGAUAAAACCGUUCUCAGUUCGGAUUGUAGGCUGCAACUCGCCUA